rnacentral:rRNA from 1 species
GGCGCCUGUUUAUCAAAAACAUGGUUUUUUGUAAUUAUAAAAAAUUUGGUCUGCUCACUGCUUUUAAGUAAAUAGCCGCAGUAUAUUGACUGUGCUAAGGUAGCAUAAUCAUUUGCCUCUUAAUUAGAGGCUAGUAUGAAUGGCUAGACGAGAUAAGAUCUGUCUCCAAAAUAGGAUCUGAAUUUGAUUAUUUAGUAAAAAGGCUAAAAUAAUUCUGAGGGACGAUAAGACCCUAUUAAGCUUAAUUUUUGAAUUUUGCUGGGGCGGCAAUUUAAGAAAAGAAUCUUAAUAGGAAAAUGUUAUAAAUAUCUGACCCAAUAUUAUUGAGGAUUUGAUGAAGCUACUAUAGGGAUAACAGCUUAAUUUUUUUAAUGAGUUCUUAUUUUAAAAAAAGUUUGUGACCUCGAUGUUGAAUUAAAAGUUCUAUUUGGUGAAGUUGCUAAAUAAGAAAGUCUGUUCGACUUUUAAAUUUUUACGUGAUCUGAGUUCAGACCGGC